GGGUUGUGAGGUUAAGCGACUAAGCGUACACGGUGGAUGCCCUGGCAGUCAGAGGCGAUGAAGGACGUGCUAAUCUGCGAAAAGCGUCGGUAAGGUGAUAUGAACCGUUAUAACCGGCGAUGUCCGAAUGGGGAAACCCAGUGUGAUUCGUCACACUAUCGUUAACUGAAUACAUAGGUUAACGAGGCGAACCGGGGGAACUGAAACAUCUAAGUACCCCGAGGAAAAGAAAUCAACCGAGAUUCCCCCAGUAGCGGCGAGCGAACGGGGAGCAGCCCAGAGUCUGAAUCAGCUUGUGUGUUAGUGGAACGGUCUGGAAAGUCCGACGGUACAGGGUGAUAGUCCCGUACACCAAAAUGCACAGGUUGUGAACUCGAAGAGUAGGGCGGGACACGUGGUAUCCUGUCUGAAUAUGGGGGGACCAUCCUCCAAGGCUAAAUACUCCUGACUGACCGAUAGUGAACCAGUACCGUGAGGGAAAGGCGAAAAGAACCCCGGCGAGGGGAGUGAAAAAGAACCUGAAACCGUGUACGUACAAGCAGUGGGAGCACCUUCGGGUGUGACUGCGUACCUUUUGUAUAAUGGGUCAGCGACUUAUAUUCUGUAGCAAGGUUAACCGUAUAGGGAGCGCAGGGAAACCGAGUCUUAACUGGGCGUUAAGUUGCAGGGUAUAGACCCGAAACCCGGUGAUCUAGCCAUGGGCAGGUUGAAGGUUGGGUAACACUAACUGGAGGACCGAACCGACUAAUGUUGAAAAAUUAGCGGAUGACUUGUGGCUGGGGUGAAAGGCCAAUCAAACCGGGAGAUAGCUGGUUCUCCCGAAAGCUAUUUAGGUAGCGCCUCGUGAAUUCAUCUUCGGGGUAGAGCACUGUUUCGGCUAGGGGGUCAUCCCGACUUACCAACCCGAUGCAAACUACGAAUACCGAAGAAUGUUAUCACGGGAGACACACGGCGGGUGCUAACGUCCGUCGUGAAGAGGGAAACAACCCAGACCGCCAGCUAAGGUCCCAAAGUCAUGGUUAAGUGGGAAACGAUGUGGGAAGGCACAGACAGCCGGAUGUUGGCUUAGAAGCAGCCAUCAUUUAAAGAAAGCGUAAUAGCUCACUGGUCGAGUCGGCCUGCGCGGAAGAUGUAACGGGCUAAACCAUGCACCGAAGCUGCGGCAGCGACACUAUGUGUUGUUGGGUAGGGGAGCGUUCUGUAAGCCUGCGAAGGUGACCUGUGAGGGUUGCUGGAGGUAUCAGAAGUGCGAAUGCUGACAUAAGUAACGAUAAAGCGGGUGAAAAGCCCGCUCGCCGGAAGACCAAGGGUUCCUGUCCAACGUUAAUCGGGGCAGGGUGAGUCGACCCCUAAGGCGAGGCCGAAAGGCGUAGUCGAUGGGAAACAGGUUAAUAUUCCUGUACUUGGUGUUACUGCGAAGGGGGGACGGAGAAGGCUAUGUUAGCCGGGCGACGGUUGUCCCGGUUUAAGCAUGUAGGCUGGUUAUCCAGGCAAAUCCGGAUAAUCAAGGCUGAGGUGUGAUGACGAGGCACUACGGUGCUGAAGUAACAAAUGCCCUGCUUCCGGAAAAGCCUCUAAGCAUCAGGUAACAUCAAAUCGUACCCCAAACCGACACAGGUGGUCAGGUAGAGAAUACCAAGGCGCUUGAGAGAACUCGGGUGAAGGAACUAGGCAAAAUGGUGCCGUAACUUCGGGAGAAGGCACGCUGGUGUGUAGGUGAAGUCCCUGCGGAUGGAGCUGAGACCAGUCGAAGAUACCAGCUGGCUGCAACUGUUUAUUAAAAACACAGCACUGUGCAAACACGAAAGUGGACGUAUACGGUGUGACGCCUGCCCGGUGCCGGAAGGUUAAUUGAUGGGGUUAUCCGUAAGGAGAAGCUCUUGAUCGAAGCCCCGGUAAACGGCGGCCGUAACUAUAACGGUCCUAAGGUAGCGAAAUUCCUUGUCGGGUAAGUUCCGACCUGCACGAAUGGCGUAAUGAUGGCGGGCUGUCUCCACCCGAGACUCAGUGAAAUUGAACUCGCUGUGAAGAUGCAGUGUACCCGCGGCAAGACGGAAAGACCCCGUGAACCUUUACUAUAGCUUGACACUGAACAUUGAGCCUUGAUGUGUAGGAUAGGUGGGAGGCUUUGAAGCGUGGACGCCAGUCUGCGUGGAGCCAACCUUGAAAUACCACCCUUUAAUGUUUGAUGUUCUAACGUUGGCCCCUGACCGGGGUUGCGGACAGUGUCUGGUGGGUAGUUUGACUGGGGCGGUCUCCUCCCAAAGCGUAACGGAGGAGCACGAAGGUUAGCUAAUCCUGGUCGGACAUCAGGAGGUUAGUGCAAUGGCAUAAGCUAGCUUGACUGCGAGCGUGACGGCGCGAGCAGGUGCGAAAGCAGGUCAUAGUGAUCCGGUGGUUCUGAAUGGAAGGGCCAUCGCUCAACGGAUAAAAGGUACUCCGGGGAUAACAGGCUGAUACCGCCCAAGAGUUCAUAUCGACGGCGGUGUUUGGCACCUCGAUGUCGGCUCAUCACAUCCCGGGCUGAAGUAGGUCCCAAGGGUAUGGCUGUUCGCCAUUUAAAGUGGUACGCGAGCUGGGUUUAGAACGUCGUGAGACAGUUCGGUCCCUAUCUGCCGUGGGCGCUGGAGAAUUGAGGGGGGCUGCUCCUAGUACGAGAGGACCGGAGUGGACGCAUCACUGGUGUUCGGGUUGUCAUGCCAAUGGCACUGCCCGGUAGCUAAAUGCGGAAGAGAUAAGUGCUGAAAGCAUCUAAGCACGAAACUUGCCCCGAGAUGAGUUCUCCUGAGACUUUAAGUCUCCUGAAGGAACGUUGAAGACGACGACGUUGAUAGGCCGGGUGUGUAAGCGCAGCGAUGCGUUGAGCUAACCGGUACUAAUGAACCGUGAGGCUUAACCUUACAACGCCGAAG
rnacentral:rRNA from 1 species